GAUGCGCAGCUACCAUGCAGUCGAGCGAACCUUCGGGUUAGCGGCGGACGGGUGAGUAACGCGUGGGAACGUACCCUCUUCUGCGGGAUAGCCACUGGAAACGGUGAGUAAUACCGCAUACGCCCUUCGGGGGAAAGAUUUAUCGGAGGAGGAUCGGCCCGCGUUGGAUUAGGUAGUUGGUGGGGUAAUGGCCUACCAAGCCUACGAUCCAUAGCUGGUUUUAGAGGAUGAUCAGCCACACUGGGACUGAGACACGGCCCAGACUCCUACGGGAGGCAGCAGUGGGGAAUCUUAGACAAUGGGCGCAAGCCUGAUCUAGCCAUGCCGCGUGAGUGACGAAGGCCUUAGGGUCGUAAAGCUCUUUCGCCAGAGAUGAUAAUGACAGUAUCUGGUAAAGAAACCCCGGCUAACUCCGUGCCAGCAGCCGCGGUAAUACGGAGGGGGUUAGCGUUGUUCGGAAUUACUGGGCGUAAAGCGCACGUAGGCGGAUUGGAAAGUUGGGGGUGAAAUCCCAGGGCUCAACCCUGGAACUGCCUCCAAAACUCCCAGUCUGGAGUUCGAGAGAGGUGAGUGGAAUUCCGAGUGUAGAGGUGAAAUUCGUAGAUAUUCGGAGGAACACCAGUGGCGAAGGCGGCUCACUGGCUCGAUACUGACGCUGAG
rnacentral:rRNA from 1 species